AUCACCACCAACUCUUUCCUUCCUCGCUCGCAGAACCGGAAACCCUUUACCUUCCCCCAAAUCUGGUGAAACAGAGCAGAUUUGGACUUCACUCUAACCUGCCGAAUACAUGUAUUUGUGAAUCAAAUUAACUGGAGAUUCAAUGGGUAGGAGUUGGAUGCAACUCGACAAUAGACUUUGUGACCAACACUUGGGUGGAGUUGAUGAUUUUCUUGAACAUGCAUUUGGUUGCUCACAUAACAAAGAUAAGAGUUUUAUGUCCUUGUAUCAAGUGCAAUAAUACAUACCACAAAGGUCCGGACAACAUCAAAUUUGAUUUGGUUAGGUAUGAAAUAGGCAAGAAUUAUAUUAAUUGGUAUCAUCAUGGGGAGGAGAUAUUUGUUGAUACAAGCAUUAGUAGUGAAAGUGAUGGUGAUGAUGAUGACGAUAAUGAUGGUUGCCUGCCUAUGUUGGAAGAAGCAGUUGGGAUGUCAAACUUGAAUCAUGAGAAGGGUGGUGAUGCAUUUAAUACUGAUCAAGCUAUUGUUGGAUCACACCGGAUUCUGCAGCAAGAUUUGACAAGAGUCAACAAAUUGGAUCAUCUAGCACUGGAAAAAGAACUUGAGGGAAGACAAGAAAUUUAAGACUAGCAGCUCUGGGACCUGGAGAAAAAUUGAGAUUAGAGUUCAAUAACCAUGGCCAAGUCAUCAGUUCGAAUGCAAAUUUGUUCGCUACCCAAAUUGGUAGGAUUGUUGGAAAUGGCGGAGACGCUCCGAUUACAUACAGAUGUUGGGAGGAUAUUCCACUAGAGAAAAAGACUAAGAUGUAUAGUCAAGUAUUGGACAAAUAUGAGUUUGAGGAAACUGAAACGAAGAAAUAGAUGGAUUUUGCAAAAGAUGGGAAGGAAGACCACAAGUAUAAAUUAAAGUUCAAUUAUUAUGAUAAGCACGACACGGAUGAGAAGAGACUUCAGCAUGUUCCGCCAGAUGUUGAACCAGAACAAUGGACACAAUUUGUCCGGUGGUUGGGCACACCAGAAUUUCAGGCUUUAUGUGCUCGAAAUAAGAUCAAUCGAUCAAAACAAAAGAUGAGUAAGCGCUAGUUUGGCAAUGCGGUUUGAUCAGUUAUAAGCGCUUCAUUUAGCUUAUACGCUAUGAAGCUUAUUAUAUUACCUGUUUGGAUAUCGCAACAGUUUAAAAGCGAAGCAACUAAAAUGCUAAACCACCAGCAUUUUGGAGAAGCCAUCAGCCACCUGCCUUUGCAAAGAAGCUUUGUGGAGUGUUUUGAGUUGACCAGAAAUAUUAUCAUUUCACCCUCCAACAAUAUCAAAAUUUACAACCCCUUAUCCCUAUACCUUCCCGACUCCCUUUCACUGCUCUCACCUUCUCCUUCAUUAUUGUCGGAUCUCCUCCAUAAACGGUCGUCGUUGCUGCCUAGUGCCACCUUGCUAGCAGAUUGCCUCCAUCGCCAGCACCACAAGCUUCCAUUGUCGCCCAACGUUGCCUUCGUCGCAAGCCGCCCUGCUACCAGAUCGUCGCAAGCCUCCA